rnacentral:rRNA from 1 species
UACGUACGAGGCGAGCGUUAUCCGGAAUUACUGGGCGUAAAGCGCGCGCAGGCGGACCAUUAAGUUGGGCGUGAAAUCUCCCGGCCUAACUGGGAGGGGUCGCCCAAGACUGGUGGUCUUGAGGGCUUCAGAGGGACACGGAAUUCCGGGUGGAGUGGUGAAAUGCGUAGAGAUCCGGAGGAACACCAAAGGCGAAGGCAGUGUCCUGGGGAGUACCUGACGCUCAGGUGCGAAAGCCAGGGGAGCGAACGGG